CCUACGGGAGGCAGCAGUGGGGAAUCUUGCGCAAUGGGCGAAAGCCUGACGCAGCAACGCCGCGUGCGGGAUGAAGGCCUUCGGGUUGUAAACCGCUUUCAGCAGGGAAGAAAUUGACGGUACCUGCAGAAGAAGCCCCGGCCAACUACGUGCCAGCAGCCGCGGUAACACGUAGGGGGCGAGCGUUGUCCGGAUUUAUUGGGCGUAAAGAGCUCGUAGGCGGUUCGGUAAGUCGGGUGUGAAACCUCCAGGCUCAACCUGGAGACGCCACCUGAAACUGCUGUGACUAGAGUCCGGUAGGGGAGUGUGGAACUCCUGGUGUAGCGGUGAAAUGCGCAGAUAUCAGGAAGAACACCAGCGGCGAAGGCGGCACUCUGGGCCGGUACUGACGCUGAGGAGCGAAAGCGUGGGUAGCAAACAGGAUUAGAUACCCUGGUAGUCCACGCCGUAAACGUUGGGCACUAGGUNUGGGUCUCAACCAACGAGAUCCGUGCCCGCAGCUACGACAUUAAGUACGCCCGCCGUCGGGUAGGUACGGCCGCGACGGACGUAAACCGUACAAGAAGUAGUACGACGCGAGAGACGCGACGACGACGACGACGGAGGAG
rnacentral:rRNA from 1 species